GGAAAUAGUGGAGCUGGCUAAAAGUAUGCCGAUGUACAGGUGCCCCUCCUGGCGAGUGCCUGGCAGGCAAAAUAGACGAGGACAAGUGUCCCAGUGAGAAUGGGAGAAACUUGUCACUGAUACUCAGGCAAGAGAGACGCAUCCACACCCAACGAAGGCUGGCGCAGAAGUCUAGGGCUUAGGUUCUACUUCUUGCACCUGACUAUAUUACCAUUACAUACCCUCUGCAAACCUGUAUUUGGAUUGUCUUAAACUGUCCAAACGUAGAUCUACGGUUGUGUGCGUAGUGCUCCGACUUUGAUUUUCUCCACAAGAAACAAUGUAAAAAACGUAGAUCUACAUUUUUGACAGUUUAAGGGUUAAUAAACCUCUUGGAGAGCAAAUGUUAACGACAGUAUCUCACUAGUUGCUCAUGGCAUCCUUUACCUAAUACAUUCUCAUGUAUAGAUUUUCAGAGUUUGUUCUAAAUAAUUGCAGUACUUUUCAUUACUUAGACCUCGUUGAAUACUUUUGUCAUGUCUAUUUUUAUUGACAGCUGAGAUACCAGAAAUGUUUAGAUGCACACCCUGGAGUAAGUCGUGGACGAGGAGCAGGUACUCCACGAAGCAUUUCGGCCACUUUGCGGUCUGUGUUCGGAUCCAUCACUGGACGAAAGGCUCGGUCAGCUGAAUCCUGAGAUGAGGACUCACCUCUGCAGGACUUCUGGGCCCAACCUGCAGAGCGUGAGGUCAUCCCACACCGCCACCUGACCAGUCCUGGAGGAGGCACCCCUUCCCCAACUGUGUCAGGGUGUCCCUUUUCCUCACGACAGGUGCAGGCACUGGUCUCUCCCACAUGUGAAUCUCCCCACUCAUAUAAUCUUCAUCGCUCCCCAACCACCCCAGCUCUCAUGAUGCAGAUACCUCCCACACCUGCCACACCCAUGUCCCCUAUGGAUGCCCUUCGACGCCUCCAAUUCCCCCCAGAUCUAUCCCCUUCACAUGAAGAGGAAGCUGACUUGGAGGAUGGAAUUGAUUUGGAGGAAGGAAUUGAUUUGGAAGAAGGAAUUCUUCUAGAGGCUGAUUUGGAGGAUGAGAAUAGCAGCAUGGACAAGUUGGGAGGUACCAUGCGGAAUGAGUGAGAGCUGCAGUUUUCUCCCUAAGGACUGAAGUGCCAUUUAGUCUACUUGGUAAACUGCCCAAUAUAUAACAUGGCAGCUGUGAUGGUGUACAUGGAGAGUUGACAUUAUACAUUUCUGAUGAGAAAAAAUGGAAAUAGCAGGCUUUUCAUUCACUUCUAUCUUGUUAAAUUACAAAGAUGGUGUAGAGCGAUCAAGACUGCAUUUUUCUAAGAUCUCUAUAAAAGUGUCCCUCCAUACUGCCAUGUGCCAAGUAGAUCCAGUAUGCCACCUACAUUUCUUCACUUUCAAUGGACCCAUAUGUCUAAUCCCUGCGCUGGUACUUCCAUCAUCUUUCUGACCUUGUUGAGUUCCUGUUUAGACACCCUCCACUUACCUGCAGAUUGACAUCUAAUGUGUCAUAAGUGAUAUAUAUAGUAGAUGUGAAUGAAAAGGAAAUACUGUACACAAGUAGAACAUGGAAAUAGUGUAGUCCAUUGCAAAGGGAUUACUCCAAGCCCAAGUAGUAAGUGUGUGGUUUGGUGUAUGCGCGUGAUUUGGUGUACGCACGGUCAGCAGGGCCCAGAAUGGCUGGUUGUGUGUAGACUAACUUGUCACAAAUCUUUUGCACGUACUCACUAAUGAUGAGUUUGUAAAUGUAAGAAUAUCCUAAGAACUUACUCCUAUGCUCUCGUUUGGCAUGUCAACUUCAAUUGUAACUUCUAAGUGGACAUAAGAAUUUUUGGGGAAUUCUUACCUUAUGACUGCAGCCUAAGCUUCACAGUGUUCCCAAGGAAGAGAUCAUUAGCAGGGGAUAAAGUUGUGCCUCUGCUUGCAUAGAAGUUUUGCUAACCACUAACACAUUGAUGUACAUUGUGAAUGUAUUUUCUGUGGCCUAGUGCAACUGUUUCCCCCAUCCCCCUCUAUCUGCAUUAAUAUUUCCUGUCAUGGAAAAAGCUAUAUAUAAUAUGUUGACUUAACCAUUUUAGGUCUGAAGUACAGUAAACAAUAAUUUUAGCCCUUUCACAGUAUUGUCAUUGAAGAUUUUAUAAUGUCAAUACUGUAUACAUAUAUAUAUAUAUUUAACUGAACUUGAUGUACAUGCUGAAAAGUGCUAAAAGUCAUAUUUGUUAUGUAACUGAAACCCAACUGGUAAAUUAGUUUUACAAUUUAACUACCAUAAAAAUUGGCUAAAUAUGAUUUACAAAUCUAGUGAGCUUUUCUCCCUAUAUUCAGUGUUUUAAUUUUAUAUUUUACUCAUAUCUGUGGGUUAAGCCUUUUAUUCAUCCCCAGAUUCUCUCAGCUUUGUUCUAACACUGACUAACUCUUCAGCUGAAUUCUUGUAGGCUACUUCUAAUCUUGUUGACUGUGAGUGAAUGUUCUCUUGUUACCGCAUAUAGCCAAGUAACUAGUCGUUAACAUAUUGUACUUACGAGUGGAGCUUGACUGGAGAAAACUUUACAUAUUAGGGAUUAACAUCAAUGAGCACAAGGAUCUUAGAUGGCUUGUAAUACUCAAAAAUUCAUGGGUUUAUGACAACAGCCAUUAAUAACAUUAUAGAAAUUAGAUUGCACAGAUAAGGGAUGUAAGUUUUCCCUAUCUGAUUUUUUUUUUUUUGGCUUGUAGCUCCCAAUGAUAGCAUACACACUAAUACAGUACCACAUUUCCUUGUGCCCAUUGCAAAUAACACCUGCAUGAAAGAGUCUCAGGUGCAAAAUGGAACCAAUGUAUUGAUAGUGUUUUUCUUGGCCAUUCACCUGAGCCUCCUGAAUUGACCCCACAAUGGCCAUAUGACACAAAAUUAGGAUUCUUUGGAGAACAAUCAAGGGAAUGUCUCAGCAGAUCACUGUAGUAUCCUCAUUCACCCUUAGUUUUUGUCUAAUGAGUUUUUAAUACAAUACGGAAUACUAAAAAAUAAAGAACAGUUGGAUACACAGUUUGACAAUAUAGGAAGAUAUUAUAGUAUGUUUAGACAACCUUGAAUGAAAAUCCUCAACUGUGGAAGCUGGGUCACUGUAGGGGUAGUCCAUACAGCACAGUCACAACACGUGUAACUCCACCAGCAACUAUGACCCAUUUUUCCAGACUGGCACUUAUUUGUAAUCUUACUCAAACCACCAAGGUAGCAAAAGUUACCUGCAUGUUGAAGACACAUUUUCUUGAUUUUUUUGGUAAUUUUAAACUGAAAAUAGAUUACAAGGAUUUUUACUGUUGUUAUGGCACUAUAUUAUUUUUUGAUUGAGUAAAUGUUGCUUGUUAAACAAUUUUCUUUACUUUUGCUAUACUUUACAGAAAUUUACUUAUAAUCUUAUGGAUUAUAGUUGCUGGUCAUAUUACAACAAUUGCCAUAGUUACAGUACCAGCAUCAGUAUGUUCACCCAUUAUUGUGACUUGUCUCAUAGGAUUGCUGAUUUAUAAUGGGGCAGUUAUAACUAAUCUGAAUCAGAAAAGAAAAUACAUAUAAACUUUGCAGAACCUAGUAGAGCUUUUUAAUUUCAAGUCAACAGAACUGUAUAAAGUAUGAAUAAAUAUAUAUAUUGGUAGAUAUGAUUUUUUCCUUUGAUAGUAGAGGGGUUCUUGCAAAAGUUUAAAUAAUGCCAUACUUAUACAUUCCACUGAAGUAGUUAUUAAUUUGAGGGAAUAUUGUUACAGCACUGGCCAUAUGUAGUGGCCACAUUAGCCCAUCUAAUGAUAGUGUAAGGCUGUUUGUAAUUUUGUUUAUUAUUAUUCAUGUCCAAUCAGUGUAAAAGAUUAAGGAAACUACAGUAUGGUUUCAUGGUAAUUAAUUUACAACCUGAAUGGUAUUUUCCAUUAUUUCAUUAACUUCUUUUGAAAUGCCUUUUGAGAUGUAAUACUUUAUGGGUGAAGUUUUUGUGUACUUUUGUAUUUAAGUUACACAUACAUGUAUGUACAACUCUUCUGGCAAGUCAUGUAUUUAAGUGCCGCUUACACAAACUUUAUCAAUGUUGAUACCCAGGUGUGAGCAAAUACAUUAUUACAUAGGAUCAA